GGAGGAAGGUGUGUAGCUUGUUAGCAGAGUAUUUGCUUUGCAUGCAGAAAGUCCCAGGUUCAGUUCCUGGCAUCUCCA